rnacentral:rRNA from 1 species
GAUAAACGCUGGCGGCGCACAUAAGACAUGCAAGUUGAACGGACUUAAUCGAAAUAUUUAUAUUUUGAAGCGGUUAGUGGCGGACUGGUGAGUAACGCGUAAGGAACCUGCCUAUUAGAGGGGAAUAACAGUGAGAAAUCAUUGCUAAUACCGCAUAUGCCAUAGAUAUCACAUGAUAACAGUGGGAAAGGAGCAAUCCGCUAAUAGAUGGCCUUGCGUCUGAUUAGAUAGUUGGUGGGGUAACGGCCUACCAAGUCGACGAUCAGUAGCCGGACUGGGAGGGUGAACGGCCACAUUGGGACUGAGAUACGGCCCAGACUCCUACGGGAGGCAGCAGUCGGGAAUAUUGCGCAAUGGAGGAAACUCUGACGCAGUGACGCCGCGUAUAGGAAGAAGGUUUUCGGAUUGUAAACUAUUGUCGUUAGGGAAGAGAAAGGACAGUACCUAAGGAGGAAGCUCCGGCUAACUACGUG